CCUACGGGUGGCUGCAGUGAGGAAUAUUGGUCAAUGGGCGGGAGCCUGAACCAGCCAAGCCGCGUGAGGGAAGAAUGCACAGCGUAUCGUAAACCUCUUUUGUCAGGGAACAAAGGCUGGGACUAGUCCCCGGAUGACUGUACCUGAAGAAAAAGCAUCGGCUAACUCCGUGCCAGCAGCCGCGGUAAUACGGAGGAUGCGAGCGUUAUCCGGAUUUAUUGGGUUUAAAGGGUGCGCAGGCGGCCUGUUAAGUCAGCGGUAAAAGGCCGGGGCUCAACCCCGGCGUGCCGUUGAAACUGGCAGGCUGGAGUUGGAGAGAGGUAGGCGGAAUGAGCGAAGUAGCGGUGAAAUGCUUAGAUAUCACGCAGAACUCCGAUAGCGAAGGCAGCGUACCGGCUCCAGACUGACGCUGAGGCACGAGAGCGUGGGUAGCGAACAGGAUUAGAUACCCGUGUAGUC
rnacentral:rRNA from 1 species